rnacentral:rRNA from 1 species
UACGGGGGGGGCAAGCGUUGUUCGGAAUUACUGGGCGUAAAGGGCUCGUAGGCGGCCAACUAAGUCAGACGUGAAAUCCCUCGGCUUAACCGGGGAACUGCGUCUGAUACUGGAUGGCUUGAGGUUGGGAGAGGAAUGCGGAAUUCCAGGUGUAGCGGUGAAAUGCGUAGAUAUCUGGAGGAACACCGGUGGCGAAGGCGGCAUCCUGGACCAAUUCUGACGCUGAGUGAGCGAAAGCCAGGGGAGCAAACGGG